rnacentral:rRNA from 1 species
GAUGAACGCUGGCGGCGUGCCUAAUACAUGCAAGUCGAGCGAGUGGAUUAAGAGCUUGCUCUUAUGAAGUUAGCGGCGGACGGGUGAGUAACACGUGGGUAACCUGCCCAUAAGACUGGGAUAACUCCGGGAAACCGGGGCUAAUACCGGAUAACAUUUUGAACCGCAUGGUUCGAAAUUGAAAGGCGGCUUCGGCUGUCACUUAUGGAUGGACCCGCGUCGCAUUAGCUAGUUGGUGAGGUAACGGCUCACCAAGGCAACGAUGCGUAGCCGACCUGAGAGGGUGAUCGGCCACACUAGGACUGAGACACGGCCCAGACUCCUACGGGAGGCAGCAGUAGGGAAUCUUCCGCAAUGGACUAAAGUCUGACGGAGCAACGCCGCGUGAGUGAGGAAGGCUUCCGGGUCGUAAAACUCUGUUGUUAGGGAAGAACAAGUGCUAGUUGAAUAAGCUGGCACCUUGACGGUACCUAACCAGAAAGCCACGGCUAACUACGUGCCAGCCGCCGCGGUAA